CAGUAGCCGCGGUAAUACGGAGGGAGCUAGCGUUGUUCGGAAUCACUGGGCGUAAAGCGCACGUAGGCGGCUAUUCAAGUCAGGGGUGAAAGCCCGGGGCUCAACCCCGGAACUGCCUUUGAAACUAGAUAGCUUGAAUCUUGGAGAGGCGAGUGGAAUUCCGAGUGUAGAGGUGAAAUUCGUAGAUAUUCGGAAGAACACCAGUGGCGAAGGCGACUCGCUGGACAAGUAUUGACGCUGAGGUGCGAAAGCGUGGGGAGCGAACAGGAUUAGAUACCCCCGUAGUCCCUGUCUCUUAUAC
rnacentral:rRNA from 1 species